GCCAUGGCUUGAUUUGAUCAUGUUGAUUUCACCAAUUGAGAUAUUGGACCAAUCGUAAUGUUGGAUUGUGUCACCUGAUCAAUUUGAAUUGUACCUCAUGAAUUCUCUCUCCUCUAAUUGUCUCUCUCUACUUGAUUUUAUGAAAUCGAUGAAGAAACCUCGAUCCUAUCACUUCGAAUCCGAUUUGAUCUGAUAGUCAAACUUUGCAUCAUUUAGGUCCUAAUUAGAUUUUGAUUAGAUGAAAUUAGAUGAUCGGAUCCAAUCUAAACCGUUGAAAUAUGGUAUUCGUAUUCUUUCUAAUUAUUGAAAUUGAUUCUGUAUAGGAUUGUGGAUGUUUGAUCAUGGGAUAUCGCGAUAUGAUCUACGAACAAAAUUUUUGGAAGAAAAUUUAUAGAAUUAUGUGGAUUUAUUAGAAUACGUUUGAGGUAAGUAAUGUUUCACUUUUUCUAGAUUUAUCGGCAAAUUAUAAUGUAUUCUUCUGACAUGAUUUGUGAAACGAUGCAUGAAUUGGAUGAAUGGUAUUUUGUUAUGAAAAUAUCUUAUUUGAAAUGUUAUGAUGUAGCAUGAUUGAACAUAUUGAUUUCAUGAUGCAUUAUAUUGAUUGAUUUCGAUACUAUAUGAUUAUAUGUUUUAUUAUCGAAAUUAGAAUAUGAAACAUGAUUUAUGAAGAAUUAUGAUAUAAGAAAUAAUAAGAAUUGACAACCUGACUAUGUAAAGGACCCUGCCAAUGGGGGCAUGUACGUUGGCAAUUGAUUGUCCUGAGGAUUUAUGUCGUCAGCAAGACCAGCGACAUGUCGCCAGAGAGACCAGCGACAAACCGCCAGCGAGACCAGUGGUUCCAAAGGACAUGGCUGCCAGAUGAUUCGCAACCUACCGCAAGCAGAUACGCGGUAUUAUGAUCCUGCCACAGGAAAAAUAUGGUCAUAGCUCAUGGUUGACGAAAAGAAAUUGAAGAACAAAAGAAAUUGAAAUUUGGAA
rnacentral:lncRNA from 1 species